GACGAACGCUGGCGGCGUGCUUAACACAUGCAAGUCGAACGAAGUGGCGAACGGGUGAGUAAUACGUGGGUAACCUGCCCUCUUGUGUGGGAUAAGCCUUGGAAAAGGGGUCUAAUACCGAAUAAAGGGGGAUGGGGUGGCGGCCUAUCGGCUUGUUGGUGGGGCGAUGGCCUACCAAGGCGGUGCCGGGUAGCCGGCCUGAGCGGGUGACCGGCCACAUUGGGACGGUGAUGCGUCCCAGGCGACUACGGGGGGCAGCAGUUGGGGAUAUGGCACAAUGGGCGAAAGCCUGAUGCAGCGACGCUGCGUGAGGUAUGAAGGCUUUAGAGUUGUAAACCUCUGUCGGUAUCGAACGGGUAGGUGGAGAAUAAGCACCGGCUAACUCCGUGCCAGCAGCCGCGGUAAUAC
rnacentral:rRNA from 1 species